rnacentral:rRNA from 1 species
UACGUAGGGGGCAAGCGUUGUCCGGAAUCAUUGGGCGUAAAGCGCGUGUAGGCGGCUCGAUAAGUCUGCUGUGAAAGUCAAAGGCUCAACCUUUGAAUGCCGCUGGAUACUGCUUGACUUGAGUCCGGAAGGGGCGAGUGGAAUUCCUGGUGUAGCGGUGAAAUGCGCAGAUAUCAGGAGGAACACCAAUGGCGAAGGCAGCUCGCUGGAACGGUACUGACGCUGAGGCGCGAAAGCGUGGGGAGCGAACAGG